rnacentral:misc_RNA from 1 species
GUGUGCGCGAACGUCAACCCGAUCAUCGCUUUCGUCUGCACCUGAUUCACACCCGGGAUAUGAUACUCAACCGGGUCUUCCACGGUCGUGAUAUUGUCCUCUUCGCUCCGGAUUUCCUGCAAGCUCGCAAAGAGUGUCGUUGACUUGCCGGAACCCGUCGGACCGGAGAUGAUGAUCAUUCCAUACGGCUGGCGAAUCCAGCGCCGGAACACCAAUAGCUCCUCUUCGUCCAUGCCCAGCGACGUGAGACUAUAGGCAAAACCCGACUUAUCCAACAAACGCAUCACGACCUUCUCGCCGUUCACGGUCGGAAGAAUCGAAACAC